GCAUCGGUGGUUCAGUGGUAGAAUGCUCGCCUGCCACGCGGGCGGCCAGGGUUCGAUUCUCGCCGAUGCA
rnacentral:tRNA from 1 species